UACGUAGGGGGCGAGCGUUGUCCGGAUUUAUUGGGCGUAAAACGCUUGUAGGCGGCCACAUCGCGUCGUGCGUGAAAUCUCCCGGCUCAACUGGGAGGGGUUGUGCGAUACGGAUGGGCUCGAGGCCGGUAGGGGGACGCGGAAUUCCCGGUGUAGUGGUGGAAUGCGUAGAUAUCGGGAGGAACACCAGUGGCGCAGGCGGCGUCCUGGACCGGCACUGACGCUGAGGAGCGAAAGCGUGGGGAGCGAUCCGG
rnacentral:rRNA from 1 species